UCAAAGGUCGACCUUACUACCUUGAGAACGAUAUCAGAUAGCGUUUCAGAACUGACUAAUAUUCCAAGUUUUUAAUCAUGAAUGAAUCAAGAGGUAAGGGCAAUGCGAAACCCCCACCCGGUGUGAUAAAAAAUGAACCAUCAGAGCAUACUGAGGUAAAGAUAAUCGUCCAAAAACCUGAUGGAAGGACUGAGUACAUGGACGUAGUCUUAGGUUGGUCGCAAGAUCUUUUGGCUGACGAGGUUGCUGCUAAAUUCAAUAUGGAUAAAAGACAGUUGUAUCUCCAGUUUGGCCUUAAACAGUUAGGGGGCACGGGAAUACUUUUAGAUGCUGGGAUAAGGAAGGACAGUAGAGUAAUUGUCAAUCUACGACUCCGUGGAGGCAGUCAGUAAAAGACAUAUGAUAAGUUUAUACGAUUAUCCGUUUCAUUAAAGGAGGAACGGAUCACUUUUUAAAGGCAUAUGUACAUAUGAAUAUCAUGAAUAUCAUUCGGUAUAUUUGAUCAUAAUGAGGUAAAUACACACCAUCCAUUCAAUGCACAAGUCACAUUAACACCUUUUAGAUGUUGGCCAAUCAUAGUUAUCUUCUUAAUCAAUAUUGUGAAUUCGAAUGCCUGAUAUUACAUAGAUAUUUCUUUCCACAUUAUGUUUUAAUCAUUCAAAGCAAAUCUUGUUAUAGAUCAACUGUUAAACGUGUUAAUUGUAUUUAAUGGACAAAGAUUUUGUUCAAAAACUUUUUUGUUGUUGGUAUACACAUAUUACCAGAAAAUGUUGUGACGACCUUGAAAAACAAUAUCGUCAUUACAAUUAGUAUUUGUUGUCUUUUGUACGUCGUGUGUAUUUAAUAAUCAUGUGGGUGCCGGUUAUCAUGGGCUUACUUGAGGACUUCGAAAGAGGGAAGGGAGUGUCAUAUAUGAAUACAUGAACAUGGACCAAUCGAAUAUGAAGUCGUUGGUCCCACCCCAACCAUCAAUCCCCCCACAGGCAAACCUGCCCACAAAUUGUGUAUAGAAAAAACCACUUCAGCAAGAAAAACUUGGAUGUUGGAUCCAACCUUUUCUUUAAAUGUUCAUUACUGAUUUAGAUGUCAUAAAUAGAACAUUUUGUUUUAAUUUUGUCAAUCUGCAUAGAUAUAAAUGCCAGAAUUAUUUAAUUGUUUUCCAUUCAAAUAUUUAUUUGUGAUGCUAUUGAAUAGUUAUAUUAAUAAUUCGAGCUGUAAUAAACAUUGAGACAAUUAAAUAAUGUAUAACUGUGA